AGUGAACGCUGGCGGUAGGCCUAACACAUGCAAGUCGAACGGCAGCACAGUAAGAGCUUGCUCUUACGGGUGGCGAGUGGCGGACGGGUGAGGAAUACAUCGGAAUCUACUUUUUCGUGGGGGAUAACGUAGGGAAACUUACGCUAAUACUGCAUACGACCUACGGGUGAAAGCAGGGGAUCUUCGGACCUUGCGCGAUUGAAUGAGCCGAUGUCGGAUUAGCUAGUUGGCAGGGUAAGGGACCACCAAGGCAACGAUCCGUAGCUGGUCUGAGAGGGUGAUCAGCCACACUGGAACUGAGCCACGGUCCAGACUCCUACGGGAGGCAGCAGUGGGGAAUAUUGGACAAUGGGCGCAAGCCUGAUCCAGCCAUACCGCGUGGGUGAAGAAGGCCUUCGGGUUGUAAAGCCCUUUUGUUGGGAAAGAAAAGCAGCAGGUUAAUACCCCGCUGUUCUGACGGUACCCAAAGAAUAAGCACCGGCUAACUUCGUG
rnacentral:rRNA from 1 species